UACGAAGGGGGCGAGCGUUGUUCGGAUUUACUGGGCGUAAAGGGCGCGCAGGCGGUCAUUUUUGUCGAGUGUGAAAGCCCCGGGCUUAACCUGGGAACCUGCGCUCGAAACGGGAUGACUAGAGAUCGGGAGAGGAGAGUGGAAUUCCCAGUGUAGAGGUGAAAUUCGUAGAUAUUGGGAAGAACACCGGAUGGCGAAGGCGGCUAGCUCGUCGGACCCGAUACGUGAACCG
rnacentral:rRNA from 1 species